GACUCCGGAUAAAGCGGAAGAAAAUGGAUGGAUGGAUGGAUGUACCAUAAUAAGUUGUCCCACUUAUUUUAGCCAUUUUCCUUUAAAAUAUCAAAAAAAAUUUACACUUUUCUAUGACCCUCCAAAACAUUGGUCAUUCUAAACAUUUUGAAUACCUUGGAAAAAUCUGUAGCUACUGCAGUACAGAAAAUACAGCUGUAUUUGAAGUAACACUCAGGAUGAAAGGGCACCGUCAUUUUCGGGCUGUUCGUCCCAGACAAAGAUUGUUGCACAUAUCCCAAAUUGUUCAUUGGGGUCAUUAGUCUAGAACAGUCGAAUUAUUCUCCUAAAUGAUGUGCAUACAUGUCUGAGCUAGGUCGUUCGACUAUUUGGAGUAGAAGGUGGCAGUUAUGCACCAUUAAACUGGAUACCAACUGCUGUGAAACAAGAAGAGGUGAAUAAAUCACAUUCUCAAACUGAAUAAAGAGAGAAAAACCAAACCUUCAUAUUAAUCGGAACUCGACUUAUUUGGACUUUGUGGGACAGACAGAUCAGUAAUGAGGAGGGCAGCUGGGCUAAGGUAAGGCCAACAAUUACAUUUAGUGAUGAAAACGAGCACACUUUAGCUCUGAACAGAUGAAAAUAUCUAUUCAAUGAUGACAAGAAGCAGUUUACUCUUAAGUUCUUUAUGUAUGAUAAUAAUCAGCUGCCCAGUAGCUUCUGCUUGAUAAUGCAGGGCUUGUGUUAAAAAUAAUAUGCUGAUUAAAUUUAUUUUGCUUCUUGUUGCUAAAUGGGACUUAUAGACCAGUGCUUUGUUUCUCGUCAUGAUGCAUUUUUAGACAGAUGAGACUAAAACUAUGGUGCCACAUGUAGUCUGAAAAAUACAGAAAAGCUGCAGUCACAUUUGCUACAAAUGACAGCGACAAGCAGUUGGCUUUGCCACUUGAUGAAUGUUCCUAGGGCGUGCCCAUGACAUCUCCGUAAGAUGUCUUGUUAAACAAUUCAGAGGCGUAAUAUGGUUACAAAAAUAGCGGCUCGGCUUUAGACCGAUAUUGUGUUUGUGUGAACUUCCAGCUGUCGUUACGCUGUCUAUUCACUCUGAAUGGCAGUCGCUCUGUCAUGUUGUUCAGUAUUUGCAUAAAAUAGACUUCAGGUCUAUUUUGGCCCCACCUAGUUGGCGGUAAAGCGACUGUUGUCUCUUGCCACUGCAAAAUGGCCACUGACUGAAAAUGAAUGGAAAAUCCUUGCUUUGUCCCUGUCGAGUGGGUUGUAGCUCAUGUGACCACAUCUUAAGUGUAAAAGAAUAAACAGUUUACAUUCUGUUGACUAGAUUAACCAAGAUUUUGUUCCCCUUAUUUCCAGUAAAACCUCAAAGUCAUAUUUAACCAAAUA